GAGAAACUUUAGAGUUAUAAUUAAUAUGUAACACUUAAAUUUUUCGCGCGGUCUUGAGUGAAUAAGAAUUCUCGUUACAGCCAAUUAGAAAACGCUAGACAAACCAACCAAUUAAAAAAUGGCAAGCGUUGCGUCAUUCGUUUGUCGAAAAUUAUCGCGACAGGAUGUGUCGUCGACUUGAGACGUUUGAUUUCAAUUACGCAGAAUUUCUUAUAACCUUCCCAAGUUACAAUCGACUUAUUACAGUCGAACAGUCUCCCCUCUCCAAUUUGAAAUUCGAUACGAUUAUUAUGGCUUGGAGCGACAUUGUGCUAUCGAUAUUCGUGGCGAUGGAAGCGUCAUUUUUCCGUGAGAUUAUUAGCUGAUUGCUGAUGAAUUCGAGUGCGGGAAAAUUUUCAAUAUAUAGACGCCAUGAUGUACCGUGUGCAUAUGUUCUCUAUUUGUUACGUAGUAUUUUUAAUUCUUUAGAGGAUACGUAAAGUUAGAGUCAGUGAUUGUUAUUUGUACCCAUUGAUUAAUUUUUUUUUUUUUAAUGUUUUGAGUAUGUAUAUGUAUAAUCUAGUUAGUGUUUCUCUCAAGAGGUUAAAACGAUCAUCCAUGCAAAGACUUUUUUCACGAUCUUGACAACUGACAACAAUUUUCACGAUGCAUUAAUGGCAACGUAGAUUCUUCGUAUCUAAUGUGUUUCUAGUUAACGUGGCUGUCGUCACUUUGACCUCCUAACAGCUAUCAGAAUUGAAUAAUCUAGUGUUCAAAGGGUAUUGGACAUAGCCUUGAGAAGACGCUUCCUCCUCUUAAUACAGCUGGAUGUCACGUCCCAGACACUCCUUUGAUUGUAUACCCUGUCUCGGUUUCGAUACACUUUCAGUGUCCUAUGAAAUUUGAGUUUAGGGAAUUAAAUUUUCUCUAGAGAAAUUUUCUUCCAGAAUAUAUUAGAAAUUGUAUUUCUUUUCUACAUAAUAUUCCUAGUCGUGGAUACUUUUCUUCAUCUCUGGAUAAAUUUCUCCUUUUUAAACCUGUAUCAUGAUAUU